rnacentral:misc_RNA from 1 species
UUAAGUUCAGCGGGUAGUCCUACCUGAUUUGAGGUCAGAGUCAAAAAUUGCCCGAGGGCGAUUGUAAGCAGUCAUCACAACCUUCACCGACGAAACUUAUUACGCCGACUACGGUGCUAUCCCGCUAAGUCUUUUUAAGGCGAGCCGGCAGAGCGGCAACACCCAAGUCCAAUCUCCUCGGAACCGACGGAGUUGAGUCU